rnacentral:rRNA from 1 species
AUUGAACGCUGGCGGCAGGCCUAACACAUGCAAGUCGAACGGCAGCACAGAAGAGCUUGCUCUUUGGGUGGCGAGUGGCGGACGGGUGAGUAAUGUCUGGGAAACUGCCCGAUGGAGGGGGAUAACUACUGGAAACGGUAGCUAAUACCGCAUAACGUCGCAAGACCAAAGUGGGGGACCUUCGGGCCUCACACCAUCGGAUGGGCCCAGAUGGGAUUAGCUAGUAGGUAGGGUAAUGGCUCACCUAGGCGACGAUCCCUAGCUGGUCUGAGAGGAUGACCAGCCACACUGGAACUGAGACACGGUCCAGACUCCUACGGGAGGCAGCAGUGGGGAAUAUUGCACAAUGGGCGCAAGCCUGAUGCAGCCAUGCCGCGUGUAUGAAGAAGGCCUUCGGGUUGUAAAGUACUUUCAGCGGGGAGGAAGGCGGUGAGGUUAAUAACCUUGCCGAUUGACGUUACCCGCAGAAGAAGCACCGGCUAACUCCGUGCCAGCAGCCGCCGUAA